GAGACACCCCUUUGGAGCAGGACUUGCUUCAGUGGGGCUUUGGUGCUCACUGAGUCUGUCCAUUGAGUGUGUCAGU
rnacentral:pre_miRNA from 1 species